rnacentral:rRNA from 1 species
CCUACGGUGUGCAGCAGUGAGGAAUAUUGGUCAAUGGACGAGAGUCUGAACCAGCCACGUAGCGUGAGGGAUGACUGCCCUAUGGGUUGUAAACUUCGUUUAUAAAGGAAUAAAACGAGGCACGUGUGCCUUUUUGCAUGUACUUUAUGAAUCAGGAUCGGCUAACUCCGUGCCAGCAGCCGCGGUAAGACGGAGGAUCCGAGCGUUAUCCGGAUUUCUUGGGUUUAAAGGGAUAGUAGAUGGGUUGUUAAGUCAGUUGUGAAAGUUUGCGGCUCAACAGUAAAAGUGCAAUUGAUACUGGGAGGCUUGAGGACAGAUGAGGGAGGAGGAAGUCGUGGUGUAGCGGUGAAAUG